AAGGGGCGGGGCCAGCGACCGGGUGGCCGCGCGGGGCUCGGCGGUGCUGCCCGCCCCCGCCGCCCGCGACCCGGGCACCGCGGCGGGGAGGGGGCGGCCGCCGCCCGGCGCCGCGCCGAGGCCGCCUGAGGCCAGGGGUGCUCCGACAUUUCCCUGCCACCGGCCACACCUCCGGCGGGGCCGCGAUACCAUCUCCUGCGAGGCGGGCGGGGGGGGCGGAGGGGGGCUGUUAACCCUUCACCGCUCGCAGAGCCUGUGUGGGGCCCUGGCCACCGCCGCAGCCCCCGCGACAGCUGGAACAACGGCCUUCGGACAAGAAAAAACAUCUUCUGAGCGACCGGCUUGCGACCCACCUUCGGUGUCCACGACCCGCGUCUCAGGACUGCUUAUUCAGUGUUUUCAGACACCUGCCUUUGAGCUUGUUCUUUUUAGAAAAUUACUUAGGUGAGGACAAGUUUAUAGAAGUAAAGUGACAAGAACAGCACUUUAUUUUUAAUGCUCAUACCAGUCUUUCGUCAGUUAAUUUACACAUACAACUGACGUGGCUCGUUACAGGAUUAGAUGCGUCUUUAUAUCAGGUUAUUUGGGUGUUUGUUUCAAAUGAGGAGAAAUGAGAUAAUGCUUAAAUUAUUUUCAUUCAUAAUCUUCACAUUUAAUAAGCAUAAAUCAGUAUCCUUCCCAUUUUACUGAGGCAGGGCAAUAAAAGCAGAAGGCAUCUAACAGGCUUUCGGAAGAUGAGUAGCAGAACCAGAACUGGAAUCCAGGUCUCAUCGCUUCCCAUCCAGAGAGCACUUGCUCCAGGACAGAACAGUGCCCCUGGAGUGCGUUCUGCCUACGAUCAGGAAAAGUCCAAUGCAUCCAACUUUUUCCUAGGUAUUUUCCACUCCAGAUUAAACACUUUUUUUUCCCCCCAAUACAGUUUUAAAGUACCUUCCUCCCCCCUUUGUACAAACCAGUUUUAGCUACAACUGAUCAAGGGUUAAUAGCAUAAUUCACUUAUAACUAGUUAUUAUUCUGGUUAAUGCACUAAGCAUGAAAAGCCAAUGGCUUCACCUCAGGCCACUCGAAACUUUGUGGUUAACUACUAAGGAUGAGAGAUCCUUCUGAAGCGAUGCUUUAAUCCACAUGGUAGCACACACAAACGUGUGCAUUUUGGCUUUGAACUUACUUCACUGUGUUACUAGAAGAGUUUCAAAGCAGAUUUAGCAUAAGAUACAUUUUAUUACCUAGCAGUUAGGUAAAUUUAUCUCCAGAUCUUUGUAAAGAAUUUUUUCCUUGUCCUAGUUUAUCAGAAUUUUGCCAAAGUGAUAGUAAGAAGUAGCAGUUCCAAUGGUUCUAGCAAACUUUGGAAGACCUGCUGUCCGUUUUACUCUGGAAGCAUGCUAAGGGGUUAAGUGUAAUAAGCUAAACUAUGGCAAAAAUACUUAACUGAUAAAGAGAACUUCCAGUAGCCUGUGUGUGCAGCUGGCUGGUAUCUUACAAAGCUAGCUAUGUCAUGUCACAAACCUCUAUACAGUCAGAAACAAAGUGUGCACUAAGGUGAAAAAUCAGGUGGACAUUUCAAUCAGGAAAUUCUGGUUCUUGUUCCAAGGCAGGAGCCCUCAGCCACGGCACAGAAAUGCCAACUGCAGGCACAUCGGUGGCCAAAUCCGGCUCCACGCGUGUCCCCCCACCCCCACCCCCCGCAGGUAGCCUCAAUGCUUUUCAUGCACCGACUUGCACGUGUCGCCCGUGGCUUCCUGCCCUUCUGUCCCAAGGCCAGGAGUGCCUUAAACAACUUUUAACACAGGUCUGGGCGAUGGGGUAAGUCCCUGUUGCCACAUAAAAUAUAUCCCUAAGUAGGCAGCAUUACCUGCAGAUUAACUAAAGGAAUUAGUAUUCUACAAACUGCUAGAAGUAAAAUUAAACUUUAUUUAAAAAUUCUUCUAAUAUAGAAAACGAGAGGAAACAAAGGCAACAAACUAAUGCCCACGUUUCCAUCUCAUUACAUGAGUUACUGUAUUUACAGCUUCAGAAAGGAGCACUGGCAGAAGGUACACGUCCUGCUACUUAUGGAGAACUACAAACAACAAUACAUUGUACAAACCUGACAUAACAUUUAAGGUUCAUUGCAGGAAACAAUUAAAUACACUUGCUAAGACAGACAGCAGAAGAGCACAGACAGGUGUUAAUUCAUCCUGACUUCACCAAGUGUUCUGUACAGCCCAAACUACCGAUUUGAUUUCCUUCUCACUCAAGAAUUCUCAUAACUGUGGCAAGAACUGCCAUACAUUAUGUUAACAGGUUCGUUUAGCAUGAUUUGGAGAUGUCAGCAAGCUGCAAGGUAAAAUGUGACAUUACUGAACCAUUUCUAUCAUAACUUUACUUUCUGGAGAGUUUGGAGAAACUGAAUAAAAUCAAAGCAGUGAAACAACAUGGAA